rnacentral:rRNA from 1 species
CCUACGGGCGGCAGCAGUGAGGAAUAUUGGUCAAUGGGCGGAAGCCUGAACCAGCCAAGUAGCGUGCGGGAUGAAGGCCCUACGGGUCGUAAACCGCUUUUGCACGGGGAUAACACCCUCCACUUGUGGAGGUCUGCAGGUACCGUGCGAAUAAGGGCCGGCUAAUUCCGUGCCAGCAGCCGCGGUAAUACGGAAGGCCCGAGCGUUAUCCGGAUUCAUUGGGCUUAAAGGGAGCGUAGGCGGGCUUUCAAGUCAGCUGUAAAAUCGCGCGGCUCAACCGCGCCCCGCAGUUGAAACUGGACGCCUUGAGUUCACAACAGGCAGGCGGAAUUCGGGGUGUAGCGGUGAAAUGCUUAGAUAUUACUCAGAACACCGAUUGCGCAGGCAGCUUGCUAAGCCGCAUCUGACGCUGAUGCACGAAAGCGUGGGUAGCGAACAGGAUUAGAUACCCCUGUAGUC